UGCGAUCAAAUCCCGUUGAAAACAGCGGUUCUCGGUUGAUCACCGAAGUUAAGCAGUGUUGAACCUGAUCAGUACUUAGAUGAGAAACCGCUUAGGAAAAACGGUG